CUGCCUGAACUCCUGUAAACCUCUUAUUGGAGCGGCACACCGAUGGCCCUGUAUGUUCGGGCGGAGGAAGAAAACGCUGCUAUGUGCUAUCUGAGAGAUCAGCACAAGGCCAAAGACUCCAAGAUACAGCUCAUGUCAACUACAACAGAGUUGAUAAGCAUGGCACACACCCCUUCCUGAGCCCUUGGCAGACGUCAGUAAUCUAUCAUUGUAGAUGAUCACUGCCAUGAUUGGGAACUCAGAGACCGCUCCAGGUCAGGGCUCCCAGGAGCCUCUACCCAACCUUCAGACCUGCCUGUCCUGCAGAAACUUUGCCAUCCUUGGCCCAGUUUCUCCGAUUAGUUGGGGACACCAUACUGAGAAUUUUUAACUAUAUUUCCUGCCCUUCAUCUUCCUACCCUGCCUCAGAUACCAGCUCUCCUGUCUUAAAGCCCCCUUUAUAUCUUUCACUCUGUGACUCUCCAUGGUACAAGAAGCCUCAAAGGUAAACUUGCCCAAGAGGCACCAGCACCAUCAGGUAAGUGAUUCAGGAUAUUUAACCACUGUUUCAGCCAGGCGUUGAUCCACCAGCAUGGCUGCUUGUCCAUCAACAACCUUGAAGACAGCACUGCCCAAGCGCAUGUUACCUUGGAGAACCACGGCAGCCAGCGAGGUGGCCUUUUCAGGCAGCAUGUGAAAGACACCCUGAUUUGUGUCCUUGAUAAAGACAGAAUCAUCUGGAAACCUGAAAGACCUUGUGAUUUAGCCCAACUGUUCCAUCCAGACUGACAGCCUUCAUGCUGACAAAGCCCAGAACAUUCCUGUCCCUGGACAUGGGGUCCUCCCUUGCAUCAUUAGGAGCCCCUGGCCAUCAUCCCUCCCUCACCUCCACCCUCUGGAAUCUCUGUAGCUGAGGGUUCUUCCCUUUGGCCCAAUACAGUAAAGCCCACCUAGAAUGGGAGUGAUUACGUGGAGGCUGGUGUGGUUGCUUCUUGGCACACAGGGCCGAGAGAGAUUCCUUCCACCUCUGCAGCCGGACAGAAAGGGUAGGUGUCUGCCAAAAUGUGCCUGGGAAUGUGCAUGUCUUGCAGCUGUUUCCCAGUGUAUGUCCCUUGGACCUUUUGCCCACACUCAAGUCCCUGGUUAGUUUAUUACAGCACUGACUUCAAGCACUCCUACCAGACCUCCUGAAUGGGAACCUUAAGCCAGGAAGACCAGGCCUAAUAUUUUUUUUUAACUGGGGGUUUGUAAACUUGAGGCUGAGGGAUUUUCUAUCAUUCUACUUGAAGAUCUAACCUUCCCUUGGCCUUGUUUCUUAAGAAUGAAGUCUUAAAAAUUCAGAACAUUGGCCUUUUUUUGCCAUCUUCAUAGUAGAAUUUCAGCAGAGAGAAAACAUAUCCAAUAUCACGGAGAUAUCUGAUAUAGAAAUAAACACUGGCCCAUGAAUCACUGAAGGCAAGGCUGAUUUUUGCUCACAGCCCUGGAGGACAAACACCUCAUGUGUUUUUUAUGUCAUUCAAUCCAGUCCACCUUGAUUGUUUCUAUGGAUGGGGGAGAAUCAAGAAGAGAUGAUACCAAAGAGGAGGCCUUCCGGAAUGUUUUCUCGCUUAGCCCCGGAAUGCACUCGGCACCACUGUGUGACUCAAGCACUUGGUCUCACUUGGCUCCUGGCCUUGGCAUCUGCUCAGCUCUUUCAUAAACUCAGCACACAGGAAGAAGGCCCCAGUGCCAGGUUAACCAGUCCUGCUCAACCGGAGGUUGUCUCCAUCAACACAGACUAAAACAGAGUUCAGCUUGGAAAACAAAGAAGCAAUGGUUCUGAAAGCACUGUGACUGCCUAUGGAUUGUACUUGCCACACGAUCAUGAGGACAGCGUCAGGCAGGAAUGAUGCAGCUCUGCUAGUGUGACUUGCUUAGCUGCAUGAAGCACUGAGUUUAACGAGGGAAAUUUCUUCCACAUUCUUUCCUACCCCUCAGGAUUAUGGGAGGCAGAACUAUACCACAUCAUAAGUGAAAAACACCUUGUAACCCAUGCACCACUCUGCAGAUGCCAGGGGUUAUGACAAUGAUCCUUCUGAGUCCCCCAUAAUGCCCAACCCCAUGCUGGACACAGAAGAGGUGCCCAGCGUAGACUGUGGCCUGAUGACUCUCAAAGUUGGCAGGCAGUUGGCGGACCAUCUUAAGUUCUGAAGAAGAAAGCUACACUGGCCUUGAUUCGUGGCUGGGGUCCCUUCUGAGAGCAGCCCCUCCCUAGAGGCACCACAGGGGUGGAGGGGAAGGGACAGCUGUGUUGGAGCCAGCACCUGCCAGCACCUUGGGCUGCGUUGCAAGCACAACCACGCAGCUGGAAGUAACUUUUGCUGUUCACCCUACGGAGAGGUUUCCUCACAUGGGCUGUGUGCAAAACAUUAAACUGCCUGCAAGUGGCUUAUUUACAGAGCUGCCUUCUUCCUGGGGCUGCUGACGGGCAGCCCCUCAGCCUCUCCACCCAGCACACCUCCCCUUCCUGACAGCAUCUGGAUGCGCUGGGUGUUGGCUCACCUGCCAGCUCUCCCACGCCUUGAAGACACAGCCCACCCGACACAGCAGGGAUGAAAUAAGAUUUCUGCUCGGCUCUCCGAAGUGCUGUCACACCCAGAGAGAAAAGUAGAUGGGCUGUUUCUUCUCGGCUGACGAGAAGUCAGUUUUGCAGGCGGACUUUUGACACAAGGAGGGUCGGGGCAUGAUUGCCUUUGAGUCUUCCUCGCAUCUAAUUGGAGGAAGAGAGAAAGAAGCCAGCUGCUGCUUUCAUGAUUAUUUAAACACUCUUCGACAGUCAGAAAUGCGUGUUGUUGUUUCUCCGCAAGUGAAAUGUGCCUGUCAGAGCGUUUUCCACCGGGCGCCACCCCCCAUGCAAAUUGGGGAGAAAAAAGAAAUUCAUUAGGCACAGGAAACCAUUUGGUGUCUAAAUGUAUUGUUUGCCUAUAGACAUCCAUAGUCUGGAAAAAAAGAAAUCCUAACAAGGGAUGUCAAACUGACAACACUUUUUCUAUUGUUCUCUCUGAAAAUAUCAUUUUUACCACGUCUACAAAGGCAAGUGGAGUCUGUCUUACCCGCGGUUUAAUAAGAGACAAGUGGUGUGGUGGUGCAGUCAUGGGUGUUCGUGAAAACCAUUUAGGAGGGAAUCAGCUUGUGAAAAAUUAAAAGAAUUCAUCAACUUGAAAUCAAUGUUUGUUCCCACCCUCUCUGCGGAAAGCCGGUUUGUGCUGAGGGCUGCGUCCUGUGUAGUAAUCUGUACGGCAGUUUAUGGUUUCUGCUUCAGGUACACUGUGCAGCACUCCCAGGGACCCUGUGAGCCAGGCAAGGGCAGUCCUCUUGCCCUCAUUCUUUUGCCCAGAAAGCUGGAUCCUGGGAAGGCGGGGACCGACUGUCACAGGCACCCUCCCAGGCGUUCACCUGCAAUGCAGACUCCUCGUCCUUUGAGGACUGAAGAAAACAUCUCCCCUUUUCUGUAGCAUUUCCUGUUUCCUUCUGCCCCCAAUUCCCCACCACCACCACCACUGCAGAAGAAAUUAAUAAUUCAUGUAACCAGUAUCCAUGAACAACCAUUGUGAGUAUCAGGAGAGGCAAUGGAGCAACGUCAAGGUCAUUGUGAGUCCUGGUCCAUCUAGUGAUACAGGACCCCUAACUCCUGGGGUCUCUGAGGGCUCGGGAAAUAGCCCUCCUCUGGCUUGACCAACUUCUAAACUUCUUGAGAAAUAAGAGUAUCUAGCAGACGGUGCCUAAAAUAUGUCACCUUUUAUUACCAAUAAAGGUGAAGUAGAAGGGUGCAGCUCUGUGGGAAAGCCAAAGGCACCUGCUCAUUAAUACCCAAAUUAGGCCAAGUGCCAUCCAAUGGCAAGCAAGGUGAGAAGGAGCACACAGGACCAACUUCCUGCCAAUAAGAAGGAGGGUAAGGUCUCUCUCUCUCUCCUUUACAAAUAAAAUAAAUAAUAAAAAUAAAAACAUCCUUCUACUCUAUAUAACAAAAUUAUUAUCAGAAGUAAUCAUGUGAUAAGCAGGCAUUAGCACUAUCCUCUUGGUUUGUUUUUAUAAAAGAAAGAACUAAAAAAUAAUAAUUUCAUUGUAAAGAUCAUUUAAAUGUGGGGAUAAAUACAUCACGUGUGGAUGAAAAUUCACACCUGCCAAACAAAUUUACAGUAGUCUCCCCUUAUCUGCAGUUUCACUUUCCAUGGUUUCAGCUGCCUGUAGACAACUGAGGCCUGGAAAUAUUAAUUUAAUGGAAAGUCCCAGAAAUAAACAAUUCACAAGUUUGCAAUAACUUUUAGUGCAGAAUAUUGAAGGAAUUUUUCUAUUUUAUUACUAGCGAUUGCUGUUCAUCUCUUACUGAUUUAUCAGUUAAUUUCACCGUAGGUAUACAUGUAAGUAUGCAUAGCAAAAAUCACAGUCUACGUAGGGUUCGGUAUUAGCCAUGGUCUUGGGCAUCCACUGGGGGUCUUGGGACGUGGCCCCCAUGGACAGGAGGGCUGUCAUAGCUCACAGUUUACCUUCUGUCGGCUGUUUUAUCUUGAAAUACAAGAAAAAGUCACCCCAGUCACAGAGUUGAAGUGACCCAAGUUCUGAUGUCUUUGCAGCCUUGGAGUGUGCACUGCUGACAGUCUACUGUCCACACCCAGAAAGGCAUGCAAGGCUGCAUAGGCUGGUGACACAAACUAAAGCCAGCUCCAACAAUUCCAAACUUACGAGGUGAAUCUGGGGGGUCAGAGGCCCACAGUGUAACUGGGAGUUCAGCAGGACACAAUGUUUAUUAAAGGAUAUCUAAUAAAAAUAUGCUAGCUUGGAGUUCAUGAAUCUAUUUUUUUUUUUUUUUUUGACAGGCAGAGUGGACAGUGAGAGAGAGAGACA